UACGUAGGGGGCGAGCGUUGUCCGGAUUUAUUGGGCGUAAAAGGCUUGUAGGUGGCCACGCGAAGUCGGAUGUGAAAUCUCCCGGCUCAACUGGGAGGGGUCGUGAGAAACUGGCAGGCUAGAGUGCGGGAGAGGAGAGUGGAAUUCCUGGUGUAGCGGUGAAAUGCGCAGAUAUCAGGAAGAACACCCGUGGCGAAGGCGGCUCUCUGGAACGCAACUGACGCUGAGACGCGAAAGCGUGGGGAGCAAACAGG
rnacentral:rRNA from 1 species